UCGGGAGUUCGGGCACGAGAGGGGGAUCGACGCGGGGAAAGCUCCUCUGCCUAGGGCAGGAAAAGUACAAACGUACCUUUUGAAGAGCCCGCAGGCUCUGUUGAUCCGGGCUGCGCUCGGAGCGCGCGGAGAGAAGACAGGAGCUGCCUGGGGCGAAAGAAAGGCGAUACGUGGUGGAGAAAAGGAGCUCCCCGAAGAGAGCAUUGUGCUGACAAGUCGUAGUGUGUGCUGAGGAACGGAGCUGUGCUCAUUGUUAGACGUGGUGGCUGUCUGUAUUCCUCUCUCUCUCUCCCUCUCUCAUUGUAGUUUACGGUGGACCUGCUGGAGUAAACAGAAAAUCCUAUGGGUAAAAAGGAACUUUGGUCUAACCAGUACUUUUGAAGGAGUAAAGCAGGAAGAAAAUUGACCUUGUUGUACAACGUAAACAAAGGCUAUCUGCUGUGAGUAUACCUAUUUGGUGUGGAGCAACUUGCAGAAAUUAACCUGUGUAAUCGUUUGAAACCUCCAGGAGAAGGAGGGCGGCCCUACCCCUAAAACAGCGUGGUGGGUGAGCCGUUAGGAGCGUCAAUCUAAGCAGCCACAGCAACGAAACAUUAUUCUGGUCGCAUUUCCAUCGCCCUUAUUUCAGCCCAAGUGAAGUGGAGGACGCCGGGCGUUUCCUUUGUGUGUACACUUAUAGUAUGAGUCAGAGGCGAAAGGGUCCGCCGCCCCCGCGGUCUCUACAAAGGGGCGCCCCUGUCCAGGAUUCGAUCGCCCUACGGGCAGUGGAGAUAGGGCAGCGCUCGACCCGGUGAGGUGGUGUGUGACCUUCGCCCCUCUGCUGACCUACGGAGGAAACUAUACCUACCCAGAGAGCUGUAAACAGCAGAGCCGCGACCACCUGUGGAGAGAAAGGAGGACGAGAGUGAAUAAUUGGAGAACAGACUGUGCAACGUGAUACCUACCCAGAGAGCUGUAAACAGCAGAGCCGCGACCACCUGUGGAGAGAAAGAAGAACGAGAAUGAACAUCAGGAGAGUGGACUGUGUGGAGAUCCAGUCGGUGGUGAAUGAGGAGAGCCUAGAGUGGCCAUUAUUUUAAGUUCCCCGUUUUCCCUUCCCUAUUUAUC